UACGUAGGGUGCAAGCGUUAAUCGGAAUUACUGGGCGUAAAGCGUGCGCAGGCGGUUUUGUAAGUUUGUCGUGAAAUCCCCGGGCUCAACCUGGGAAUUGCGAUGAAGACUGCAAGGCUAGAAUCUGGCAGAGGGGGGUAGAAUUCCACGUGUGAGCAGUGAAAUGCGUAGAGAUGUGGAGGAACACCGAUGGCGAAGGCAGCCCCCUGGGUCAAGAU
rnacentral:rRNA from 1 species